rnacentral:lncRNA from 1 species
AGCUACAUCCGUCACCUGACACGGCCCUACCAGGAACAGCCGCGCUCCCGCGGAUUCUGGUGCUGCUCGCGUCCCCGCUCCCCUAUUCCCCUUAUUUUAUUCCUGGCUCCCCUCGUCGAAAGUCUUCCAUUCUUCAAACUAGAUUAUUUAAAAAUGAAAAAGGAAGAAAGGAAAGCGAGGUCAUCUCAUUGCUCUAUCCGCCAAUCAGGAGGCUGAAUGUCAGUUUUGAACUAAAAGCCGCUCCGCUCCUCUUCUAGAUUUGGAAAACAAGCGAAAUUAAACUAAACCGCUGCACGCCUCUGACGCGACAUCUGGACACGGCGCGGCGCUGGCGCUGCCGGAGCUGUCGACCCGGCCUGGCGCCGGACUAGUGUCCCUUUUGAUGAGAAGAAUAAGCCUCAUUCUGAUUCAACAGCAGAGAUCAAAGAAAAGACUUCUGUUUUCUGGCCACCAGAUAUAUGUUAUCUGUGCUUAAAGAAUUGAAAAACACACAUCAAAGGAGAAUUUUCUUGGAAAGAGAGGGUUCAAGCAUCACUGUUAGGUGUGCUGGAAUCCUUUCCCGAGUCAGUACUGCUUUCUAGAAGAAAACCGGGGAGAUCUAUUUGGAAUGUAUCUAACUCCAAAGAAACCAUCAGAGGUAACAGUAGAGACGGGGUUUCACCAUGUUGGCCAGACUGGUCUUGAACUCUCGACCUCGUGAUUCGCCCGCCUCGGCCUCCCAAAGUGCUGGGAUUACAGGUGUGAGACACCACACCCGGCGGAUAGAGAGAAUUUUGACAGGUGAUGGAGGCUUUUUAUUUUGCCACAAAACCACUGGUGACGUUGCCUGUGGCCACCUUGGAGAAGACACUGGAGGAUGAUUACGGAGCUAGGAAUUUCCUACGAAGCUGGGUGAUAAAAGGACAUUGGACAAAAACACAGAUAGCUUCAUUCUAUACCAGGAUCCAUCACUGAUUAGCUGUAUUAUAUUUGUCUCUACUGUAAUUUGAGGAGAAUGAUACCUGCUUCUCUAUCUUGUUGGGUUUUACAGAUGAUGUAUUGAAAGUUCAAUAAAAUCUAUAAACAAUAGAUCUCUGUGGCUUGAAUGGUCCUCAGAUAUCUUGACCAAUGAUUCUCAAAUGCUUACCAUAGACCAUAAUUUUUCCCCACAUGACACUGCUUCAUAUUUUUAAGUUUUUUUUCACCAAAUAUUUUGUUUUACUAUCUCCAAGCCCUGAAACUUUUUUUCUCCCUCAAACAUGACUUCAACUUUACUAUCCUGGUCCCUUUCUAUUGAAUGUGUUUUGUUUGUGUCUAUAUUUCUUAUAGUGUCUUGAACUGAUUGUACUUACGAUAUGACUUGACUAGCAUAAGAUAGAAUAGGGCAGUCAUCUUCUUUGAUCUAGACUAGAUGCUAUCCUUCUAUUAAUGCAGUUGCUAGUUUUGUAUUUGCUUGCUUUCAAUUUUUUUUUUUCAGAUUUUGGUAACCACUGUUACUUGACUCGUAUCAAACUUAUCAGUAGCUAAAACCCCCAUUUUCCCUCUUCCUGUGCUUAUUUGACUAGUUUUGUUGCGCUUUCUGAAAUGUUUCUCACUUGUUUUUGACCAAAAAAAUAAAAAUAACAAAUGCCA